rnacentral:rRNA from 1 species
CAGUAGGGAGGAAGGUAGUGUAGUUAACACCUGCAUUAUUUGACGUUACCUACAGAAGAAGCACCGGCUAACUCCGUGCCAGCAGCCGCGGUAAUACGGAGGGUGCGAGCGUUAAUCGGAAUUACUGGGCGUAAAGCGCAUGCAGGCGGCCUGUUAAGUCAGAUGUGAAAGGACCCGGGGCCGUUAACCGUACGGUAAAGUUGCUAUUUAGUAAACGUAGGCGAGGCUAGAGUCUUGUAGAGGGGGUAGGAAUUUCAGGUGUAGCGGUGAAAUGCGUAGAGAUCUGAAGGAAUACCAGUGGCGAAGGCGGCCCCCUGGACAAAGACUGACGCUCAGAUGCGAAAGCGUGGGGAGCAAACAGGAUUAGAUACCCUGGUAG